AAAACGAUUCUGAUGAUCGGACUAAGAUUUCUAUGGCACAAAGGUUACUAAAAAACAGAAAAAAAAGUAUUAAGCUCAUAAUACAGUAAAACCAAUACAUAAUUGCUACGCUUAGAAUCAACAAAAAAAUUAUACAAAUACUGAUACUGCUGAUAGGCGAGUAAUUGUUUUAGUAGAGAGGUCGGAAGGAAGGUUAUAUAGAGUAAUUUAAUUUAUAUGUACAUGCAACGAUUAAUAAUUGCAAACGAAAAACUAUUCUGUUCCCGGUGUUAUUAGCCGUAUUUUCGCCCUUAUUGCUAAGGUAAUAUGGAAAUCAACAAAAUUCUGAGAAAAUUACAAAGAAUAUCAAA